rnacentral:rRNA from 1 species
GAUGAACGCUGGCGGCGUGCCUAAUACAUGCAAGUCGAGCGAACAGACGAGGAGCUUGCUCCUCUGACGUUAGCGGCGGACGGGUGAGUAACACGUGGAUAACCUACCUAUAAGACUGGGAUAACUUCGGGAAACCGGAGCUAAUACCGGAUAAUAUAUUGAACCGCAUGGUUCAAUAGUGAAAGACGGUUUUGCUGUCACUUAUAGAUGGAUCCGCGCCGCAUUAGCUAGUUGGUAAGGUAACGGCUUACCAAGGCAACGAUGCGUAGCCGACCUGAGAGGGUGAUCGGCCACACUGGAACUGAGACACGGUCCAGACUCCUACGGGAGGCAGCAGUAGGGAAUAUUCCGCAAUGGGCGAAAGCCUGACGGAGCAACGCCGCGUGAGUGAUGAAGGUCUUCGGAUCGUAAAACUCUGUUAUUAGGGAAGAACAAAUGUGUAAGUAAAUAUGCACGUCUUGACGGUACCUAAUCAGAAAGCCACGGCUAACUACGUG